CGUGUCAAUACAAGGGCGUUACCUACCAGAGUGGACAGACAUUCAAGGAUGACUGCAACGACUGUAAAUGUUGGGAUGGAGCUGUGGAAUGUACAAACCGAGAUUGUCCAAAGAAACCAUGCCAAUACAAGGGAGUAACCUACCAGAGUGGACAGACAUUUAAGGAUGACUGUAACGACUGUAAAUGUUGGGAUGGAGCUGUUGAAUGUACAAAAAGGGAUUGCCCUAAGAAACCGUGUCAAUACAAGGGAGUAACCUACCAAAGUGGACAGACAUUCAAGGAUGACUGUAACGAUUGUAAAUGUUUGGAUGGAGCUGUUGAAUGCACAAAACGUGAUU